rnacentral:rRNA from 1 species
AUUGAACGCUGGCGGCAGGCCUAACACAUGCAAGUCGAACGAGUGGCGGACGGGUGAGUAAUGUCUGGGAAACUGCCCGCUGGAGGGGGGUAACUACUGGAAACGGUAGCUAAUACCGCAUACCAUCGGAUGUGCCCCGAUGGGAUUAGCUAGUAGGUGGGGUAACGGCUCACCUAGGCGACGAGCCCUAUCUGGUCUGAGAGGAUGACCAGCCAGACUGGAAGUGAGACACGGGCCAGACUCGUACGGGAGGCAGCAGUGGGGAAUAUUGCACAAUGGGCGCAAGCCUGAUGCAGCCAUGCCGCGUGUAUGACGAAGGCCUUCUGGUUGUAAAGUCCUUUCAGCGAGGAGGCGUUACUCGCAGAAGAAGCACCGGCUAACUCCGUGCCAGCAGCGGCGGUAAUAC